rnacentral:rRNA from 1 species
AUGCUGCUGCCGGAGCGGGGAAAGGGACCCACUCUUGUUGUAGAUAAGCUCUGCCGAAACUCCGUUAACAAGAAGAGCAACGCUAGGCGCUGGCACGCCGGCCCAAAUUUGGGCCGGUCGCGCCCUAGCCACCGGAUGCCACUAGCCCUGACCGUUGGAUAUAGCAAAAAAAAAGGGUUCGCCCUAGACAUCUUCCUCCUCGCGCUCGUGCAGCUCUCCGCAUCUCGCCGUCUCGCGCAGCUUUACUUCGGCGCCGCGCUUGUCUUCUACUUGCGCCGCCAGCGCUCAUCCUCGGACUCGGGCUCGCAGGCAAUCCGCGCUCGCCGCCGCAUCCUUGGCCGCCCCACGUUCGUCCUCGGGCUCGUGCUCGCCGGCAACCCACGGGCCGCCGCAUCCUUGGCCGCGCGCGCAUAUCGGCCAUGGCAACCCCUGUGGAGAUGGCCACAUCACCCCGUCGUCGAGCUCGCGCCGUACCUCGCACUCAAUUUGCUGGUCACAACAACAAAAAUCACGGGUCGUGGCAAAAUAACAUGUCGGUUCCAGCAAAAAUCACUUCACCUCACCGGCGCGGCCCAUCCCCCUCCCUCGCCCUCCUGCAGAAACAAUGGCGACGACUCCAUGGUCUCGCAGCAAACGGCAGUGGUAGCAAAUAUUGGCCAUGGUUCCAGCAAAUCAAAUAAUGGUGGUAGCAAAAAAACGGAAUCAGACGCCAUUCCAACAAACCAAAAUCUGGUGGUAGCAAAAAUUGAAGCUUAUUCUAGCAUUCCAAAACGCCGGUGGUAG